rnacentral:rRNA from 1 species
GAAACUUAAAGGAAUUGACGGAAGGGCACCACCGGCGGGGGGGCUGCGGCUUAAUUUGACUCAACACGGGGAAAACUUACCAGGUCCAGACAUAGUGAGGAUUGACAGGUUGAGAGGUCUUUCUUGAUUCUAUGGGUGGUGGGGCAUGGCCGUUCUUAGUUGGUGGGUUGCCUUGUCAGGUUGGUUCCGGUAACGAAACGAAGACCUCAGCCUGCUAAAUAGUCACGUUCGGCUUUUUGCCGGACGGCAGCCGCUUCUUAGAGGGGCUAUUCGGCGGCUAGCCGAUGGGAGUGUGAGGGCAAUUAACCAGGUCUGGGGAUGCCCCUUAGAUGUUUUUUGGCCCGCCCGCGCGGCUACCCCUGACGCAAUCAAACGAGGCCCCGCCUUGGUCGAGGAGGCCCCGGGGUAAUCUUGGUAAACUGCGUCGUGAUGGGGCUAGACUCUUGCAAAUUUUAGUCUUUCAACGAGGGAUGCCUAGUAAAGCGCGAGUCAUCAGCUCGCGUUGAUUACGUCCCUGCCCCUUUGUACCCCCCCCCCCUCGCUCCUACCGAUUGGAUGUGCUGGUGAGGCCCUAGGACUGGCGGCCUUUGGCGGUUCUCCGCCGACGGUCGCCGGGAAUUCGGUUAAACCCUCCCAUCUAGAGGAAGGAGAAGUCGUAACAA